rfam:Triticum aestivum genome assembly, contig: Triticum_aestivum_CS42_TGACv1_scaffold_515600_6BS
UUUCUACUCCCUCCGUCCGAAAAUACUUGUCAUCAAAAUGGAUAAAAAUAGAUGUAUCUAAAACUAAAAUAUGUCUAGAUACAUUUCCUUUUAUCCAUUUUGAUGAUAAGUAUUUCCGAAUGGAGGGAGUAUUUG